rnacentral:lncRNA from 10 species
CUCAUUCCUACCAGUGCUCUGGACAGACUUGCCUGUGGCCAGGUGCACACACGUUCCCCCUCUGAGCUGCACACACUUUCCCUCUCUGAGCUUUGGUCCUCUCCUCUGUAAAAUGUGAUGAUUCACAUCCCCUCCUGGCCACAGGCGAGUGUCUGAGGUGCCGAGUGCACCCUGCUCUUCCCUACAAAGCAGACCCUUUCUCCUUUCCCCAUUAUCACAGAUACCUGCCUGGGAAUCCGGAAGAGGCCCUUCCCAGUCCAACAGGCAGCUGCUAUUAUCAAGCAGGCCAGGUCCCAAAUGCUGGGGACUUCCUCCUCCUAAAUCUCAUUUUCUCCCCAGACAAAAUGAGAGCAACAAUCCCCACAUCCCUGGGUUAGGAAAAUACCCUGAAUGAAGAUGUGCAGUCUCUGGCUGGGCUGGCCCAAUCUCUAUGCCAGGACCUGGGGUGAGAAACUGAGCUCAGCUCCAGGCUCAUCUGAUGUCAUCCUGACAGUCUGAGGACAGAGACAUUAUCUCCAUUCACAGGCAUGGCGGGUGGCAGGAACUGGCCCCAGCCGACCACAGUUUCCUAAGUGCAGAGGUGCGACUGCAGUCUUCCCUGCUCCCUCCCCAACGGUCUAAUCUGGAGUCUCUAGGUCAUCUACUCCCAGUCUCAAAAAAUUCCUGGAUCCUUGAAAAUCUCUAAUAACACUGAAACAAAAAAUACAACAUUGAGGUCUAUCAUUUUUUACCUCUUAGAGUAGCAAAGAAUGAAAGUUCCAUGUAGUAAGGGUGCAGGGACACGGGCACGCUUGUGUA